AAAUACGACUCUCGGCAACGGAUAUCUCGGCUCUCGCAUCGAUGAAGAACGUAGCGAAAUGCGAUACUUGGUGUGAAUUGCAGAAUCCCGUGAACCAUCGAGUCUUUGAACGCAAGUUGCGCCCGAACCCGUCAGGCCGAGGGCACGUCUGCCUGGGCGUCACG
rnacentral:rRNA from 1 species